UUUAAUGGAGUUCCUGAAGAUAAAGAAAAUAAAUAGAAGCAAAGCAGUCAUUCCCAGUGUGGAUUGGAGAAUUUCAACAAUUGAAUAUCUUUUUUUUUCCAUUGUGUUAAUUCUACGUAUUAUAUUGAAACAGAAUAGUUAUAAGAAUUGUACCAUCAUUGUCGAUGAUUCCAUCAUCAAUUAGCUUUUGGGUACUAAACAGCAGGCACAAUGCAGCUGCUGAUGCAGGCCAAAAUACGGCUCGCCGGAUUUUCAUCUUUUUUGCUACUUCUAGAGCCCAUCCCAUACUCUCAUCAGCUAUGACACAGUCCCAGGGUUCCAUCCCAUCUGGAAUUGAGACUAAAGUAAUCUGGUCAUCAAGAUCCUCCUUGUCUGCCAAGGCCUUCAUGACCCUACUGUGAAUAUACUCUGUAAUUACAAAUGUGACUUUGAAACCUGUUUCAGCAAGCUUAGUGAGAGUUCCAUCAAAGGAAUCACAUGGCCUUGUGCUGGGUAUGGUAUGGCUAGAAUAUGUGGCUUGCCCAUGUUUUUCUUUGUAGUCUCUAUUUUCCUCUUUUUUUCUUUGCAGUUGUGAGAUGAUUCUUGACAGAAGUUUCUUUUAGCUCAACUUAUGCACUUAUACAAAUCUUGGAACCAAUGGUCAUGAUGGGUCCAAAAACCAGUGAUAUGUCUUGGAAUUGGGGGACUCGUACAAUAAAAUGCUCUGCUGCAAGUUGGUAUUUGCAAGAAUCAAUAAGCCAGAAAACAGAUGUCCUAGGACGCCAUCGAUAUAUUUUAGAAUAAGGCCCCCUGCUUAAGGAGUGUGAAAGUUCUGUCAGCUGGGCUAUAUAAGAAGUUUUACUGGUUCUUAAUCACGAACUCUAUUCAGACAUAACCAAGGUCUUCUUUACAGUUCAGGCAAUAUCACUUUCGGGAACAAUCGAGAACAAAAUUGUUAAAGUGAAGCUGGCAAAUGCAACAACAUAGAUGACAGAGUUCGGUGCCUUUUGGUCCGGCCAUGCUAAACAACUCGAGUCUUCUGGCCAGAAGUAUCCAAUUGAGUCGCCUAACCAGCUACUUCCAAAAGUGGUUCUAUUAGCAGAAUCUUUGGGGCAAAAGUGAAUGCUCCAGGCUCGAGAUUAUAUAUUGAAAGGUUAAUUACAAACCGCCCAGUCUGGCACUUUGAUUACCUUGUUGGUUUUAAUCAUGAGAUCCUAUAUUAUUUUCUGCAUAGUGAAGUCACCGAUGCAGCCCCAUACAGGAUUUGCAGUGUUCAUUUCAGGCGUUUCUGGAGCCAACUGAAUUAUCUGCUUCUUCAGUGGAGUUCCUUCCUGAGAUUAAAAUUAAAAGAGACAAACCACUGCAAGUCCUCUCAGUUGGCUCCUAGUAGCACCCGUCAAUUGAUAACCAAUUCUUAUCAUCUGCAUUCCGUUAUUCUUCAGUUGAAGCUCCAAAGUUGACUUAUCAAUCCUACUUGGCCUGCCAUCGCUUAAUGCAGAGUGAAUAGUUUCCAGGAUUAUUUGAUCUUGAGAUGUGCUGCAAUAUAACUAACAUUUUCGGUGCUCUCUGUUACUAUGUUGCAUAUUCUGAUAACCCAAGAUCUUUUAAUCCUGAUACUUAUAUACUGAGAAAUGAAACUAUUAAAAAUUUAUCUGAAUUGUUUAUCGGCAUUAUUCAAUCCUGAACUGCUGUGUUCUUUUAUUCUGAAAUUUGUCCAAUCAAUUUAUUAUAUGGCAACAGAAUACUUAAAAAGGUUGGUAAUAGACGAUAUUCUCAUCAUCCUUGUCAAUGAUUCUAUCAUCAAUAAGCUUCUGGAUACUAAAUAUUGAGAUCAGUAGACAGGCUGAAGCAGGCAAAUGGACAGCAAGGUGGAUUUUCAUCUUUUCUGACACUUCCAAGAGUCCAUGCCAUACUCCAAUCAGCAAUGACACAGGUUUCUAAGCAAUCGAAGUCAACAAAAAAGACGGAAUGCAAAUAAAGUAAAACUCUAUCAAAGGGAAACAUUUGAUAUUCAACUGAUACAAUUGCUGUUAUGCUGCAAUUACAAGUGACAGAAGAAAGAAAAUAAAUUGAAGUUGCAUAAGCUAUGAAUGACAUGCUUAAAUCUGCAUCCCUUCAAUGAAAUGCUUCAAGAUCUUGCUGGAAUAACCAUAUUCUCCGACAUUUAUCAUGGCUAUUUCUUUCAAUUCUGAAGCUCUUGCAAUAACUCCUUCAUCACUUAGAACUUUCCCCACCUUAUCCUUAAUUUCUUCUCGUGUGAUGAUUCCACUUUUACUUUUAUUAAACUUCAAUCCCACUUUCCAAACAUCACAAAUGUAGCUCUCAUUGAGGAAUUGAUCAGCAAAGUAUGGCCAACACAAGAAAGGGACACCAUUAGCUACACCUUCCAUGGUGGAGUUCCAACCACAAUGGCUCAAAAAGCAGGCAAUAGAAGGGUGAUUUAGAACCUUCUGCUGAGGUGCCCAUCCAACCAUCUGCCCUCGGCUGCCGACUCUCUCUAGAAAUCCUUCUGGAUAGGCAUUUGUAUCAGUGUGAAGCUGCCAAAUGCAACAUAUAUAACUGACUUGGGUGGCUGUUGGUCCAGCCAUUUCAAACAAGUCAAGUCUUUCUGCCAGAAAUAUCCUGCUGAAUCUCCUUGUCGACUGCUUGCCAGCAUUGGUCCUAUCGGCAGAAUCUUUGGGCUCAAGGUCAAUGCUCCAGGCUCAAGGCAUUGUUGGAUCCAUCUGAAUUAUCUGGUUCUUCAGUGGCGUUCCUGCAGAGAAUCAAAAUAUGAAAUUGUGUUGGUUGAGAUCAAUUGGUGAAACUGUCCUACCACUAGUCACUGCUAGUAAUGAAUGCUAGUCCUACUUGUCAAGUAAAUAAGGAGGACAGCAGGGCAGCUGAUGCAGGCCAAAAGGCAGCGCAGCGGAUGUUCAUCUUCUCUGCCACUUCAAGAGCCCAUCCAUUAUUCGCAUCAGCAAUGAUACAAUUAACUUCCCAAGAUCAUUCCUAUCUUCCCAAAGCUCCAGCCCAUCUGGGAUCGAAACAAGACUAAUUUGAUCUCCAAGAAAAUCGUUGCCCAAUGCAUUCAAGACCCUCUUGUGAUUAUAGUCUGUGUUCACAAAUGUGAUUUCGAAUCCAUGCUUUACUAAGCAUUGUGAGAGUUCCAGCAUGGGAAUUACAUGGCCUUGUGCCGGAUAAGAUAUGAGACUGUAUGUCCUUUCAAUAUUCAGUUUCUUGCUACUUUAUAUAAAUAUUCGAGAAGCGACUAAUCCAGAAUGCAAUCCUGAUGGCCGUUUGUCUCGAUGUGCAUCGGUGAUGAUCUGAAUCUUGGAAUUGGGAAUCUAACAUCCUAGUUAACUUAUAUUUCUAACUAGGUUACUGGAUGUUUGGCUUUAUGUAUCUGUUCUUCUUCUUGUUCUUGGGUUUUAUCCUGGUUGUCUUUUGGUGUUUGUUCCAUAUCUAAUGUCUAUAUCAAUCUGUCUUGUCGAGGAUUACAAAGAGGAAAACUCAGUGGAGAAGUUGCAAUUUAAAAUGGCAUAGAACUUUCAAUCUGUCAUCUUGGUCAUAUAAGAACUCGUACAAGUUAAUUUACAUCAAGGCUGGCAUAAAAACCUCAGCCAGCCACCCAUGCAUUGUGCGAUGCUUUCAACUGUACAUGGCGGCACUUCUGGUGCUCAAUGACCAGAUCAUUGGGUCUUUUUGACAGUAUUAUCAUAACUUCUGUUGAUAAUAUUUAGAGCCGCUGGAAUAUAUUUGAUUACAAGUAAUUGCAACAGCUUGUAAAGGGGUAGUUUCUGAAAGACAAUUUUCAAGAUAAAUUAUGGAGAUGGGGGCUUUGUGGGGGAGCCUGGAGCAGCAUUACAAGCUUUCACAAGUUGAAGAGAAUGAAUAUUUCGUACAAGUAUAUACUUAUCUUUCAACUGUAUUUAGGAGCGGGGGAUUGCUAUAUUCUGGACCCGGUACACAAUGCAUCAUGUAUCCAGGACUAAAUACACGUGUAUAUUAAUAGUCAAUUAAAUUAGGUGGUUUUAUAAUUAUAAAA